rnacentral:rRNA from 1 species
AAUGGUACCACCCUGAACCCUUCCCGAACUCAGACGUGAAACAUUACAGCGGCAACGAUAGUCGGUGGGUAGCUACCCGCUAAAAUAGCUCGAUGCCAGUC